UCCUUAGCCUUACUAUCAUCUGUUUCUCAUUUUACACAUGCAAGUCUCAGCACCCCAGUGAGAACGCCCUUUUAACCUACACCAGGAGAAGGAGCUGGCAUCAGGCACAAUCCCUGCCCAUAACACCUAGUCUCACCACACCCCCAAGGGUAAUCAGCAGUGAUAAAUCUUAAAUAUAAGCGACAGCUUGAUUUAGUUAGAGAAAAGAGGGCCGGCUAACCCGGUGCCAGCCGCCGCGGCUACACCGUGGGGCCCAAGCUGAUAGUCACCGGCGUUAAGCGUGAUUAAAGCCCCAAACAAUUAGGGUUAAAUUAAUAUUUAGUAGUGAUAAGCUUGUUAUUAAGAAAACCAUAAACGAAAGUUACCCUAAUUACACUUGAAUCCACGACAACUGGGAAAACAAACUGGGAUUAGAUAC
rnacentral:rRNA from 1 species